UACGUAGGGGGCAAGCGUUGUCCGGAAUUAUUGGGCGUAAAGAGCUCGUAGGCGGUUUGUCGCGUCUGCCGUGAAAGUCCGGGGCUCAACUCCGGAUCUGCGGUGGGUACGGGCAGACUAGAGUGUGGUAGGGGAGACUGGAAUUCCUGGUGUAGCGGUGAAAUGCGCAGAUAUCAGGAGGAACACCGAUGGCGAAGGCAGGUCUCUGGGCCACUACUGACGCUGAGAAGCGAAAGCAUGGGGAGCGAACAGG
rnacentral:rRNA from 1 species